UGCAAAAUGCAUCUAGCAUUGGAGUUGAAGUUCUAUUUUAGCAACAAAAAACACUUUUUAGUGCUAAAUUAUAACAAUAGUUAUAGCAAUAGUUAUAGCUAUUUUGCUCUUGCAUUGGACUUGCUCUUAGUUCUCACCCUUUAGCAACACCCAAAAAGUAUAUGGGUUUUGAGCGAAACCGGAAUAAAGACUCAAUAAUGAAGAAGAAGAAGAAACGGAUCGGAGAUGGAGGAUGGAGAAUCCUAAUCCGUUUGGAGGCAUUAGUCCUUAUGCUAAUCUUGGUCACUAUGAUCUUUCACAAACUCUUCAAAUGAGGUUCAAUGGAUGGUUAAGACACAAAGUACGUAACGUUUCUGACCAGAUAAAUAGCAAACAUUUUUGUGUAUUUACUCCUUCCGAACAUGCAAUCCAGCUAGACGUAAUUGGUGAAGGUCAUGAACUUCAGGUGCAGACUUCAUGAGCUUGAUUAAGAUUAAGCAGGAUAGAGAAGAGAGAUAAACUGCAGAUCUGAUAGAUGGGCUGUACUCCAGGGGUGGGUAGAAGGCUCUCCUCUGCUGAAUAUAUUUGUUUUGAGGUAAAAAACUAAAGAAUAGGAAUCAUGAUAGGAAGUUAUAUGAUAAAGAUCAGUCCGGUUGACAUUAUAUUGAUUAAAAUCUGAUUUGAAUUUACUAAAUCCUAAAGCAGCAAAACUCCCAAUAGAUUAGCCACUAGAACAACGCAAACACUGUAAACAAAUAAGAAGCUGGAAUUAUCUGGUGGCUAAAGUUUUACGAGGUUUGUUGACGCUAUAUGUGUGUAAGAGGUUGAAGAUGCGAGAGCUCAUGGUAAUAAUCAGCUUCCUUUUUAUAGUCAGAAUCAUAGUAAUACUUGAGUUAUUGUAUCAAACGUUUUUAUUAGAAUAUAGCAUUUUUUAUUUCUUUUUGGUUCCAGUAGUUAAAAACAAGUUUUUCCCCUUCAUUUGUUCUGCCAUAUAAAUUAAUAGUAUGCAACUUAUGACAAUACAUAAAACUUAUGCUUUUACAGAAGUAGACCGGGAUUUAAGCAAUUAAAUGAAAGUUUUCACUUCCGUCUGUCAAUACAUAAAACACAAUAAUAUUAGGUCUGGUGUUCAGGUUUUGUAUUUGGUUGUAAAGAGAACCGUGGGAGCUUGCACGAAUUUAGGAACUUUGUACAACAACCUUUUGGUUUACUCAAAACAUUUAUUAAUGUUUUUCUUUUGUGUGGCGUGAUAGGUUUUUCUGCAGAGUAACAACCAUACCAAGUUUACUCCCACGCCUUUCUUAAGAAUAAUGCAUGGGAUUGCCAGUCCAGCUUUUCCUUCUGCAAUUUGGUCUAGGACUCAUUACUGCCAACAUACUUGCUGCCAUUCUCCUUCAGUCUGCAAGUUUGAGUUUCUAAUUUCAUUCCGCUCAAAUCAGUGUCCGUUGUUUCUAUCAAGAGGUUCCUGAUCGCCGUUAUCUCAAUUUUAGGGUUUCAUCACUCGAGAUUAAGGUAAUUGUAACAGAGUUAUCUAUAAUAUUUAAUAGUUGUUUUUGCAAUCAGAUGGAUACGAUGUCGUUUGUGUUUAGUGGUCACGUGCUUUCAGUGGGCAGCUGGCUAUAUAGCAUUUAGCAUAACAGAAUAGAGGCAGGCUUGAGCAUGUUUUAUCUCCUGUAAUUUCUUCUUUCUUGUCCAGCACUUUACCUUCUCGCUAGUAAUGUCAGUUAUCCUUGCUCCUGUUCAUUAUUUGUUCUCUCAUUAUAAUUAAGUUCAUUACAGUAAUUGAUCAUGUUCUUUUCUAUUUUGAAAUUUGAGAUUAAGGUGGAUUUUGUAUAUUUCGUGAUUCAUAUACAGUCCAAUCGGUUUUCUUUGUCCUUCAAGCAACUUCUACAGUCGGUGUUCAUUGCAAGAAAUCCUCUUUUAUGGAUACGUUUGGUACGUGAGAUGAUAUACACUCUGACGAGGGUGUUUGGUUAUUGACCGUUCAGUGUGUCUUUGCUCAUUUUUCAGGACAGAAGAUAAGUACCAAAAAUAACUCAUCUUUGCAUGCUAAUAAUUAUGAUCCUCAAACAACUGCUUCUUAUUCGGGUGAAAACAGUGAUCCCAUCACCAUUCAGUUUUCCGGUGGACGCACUGGUCAUAAGUGGGGGUUCUACGGUGUCGGUGCUUUCGUUACACACUUUUUAUAUGUAAAAGGUUGUUCAAGUCCAAUUAUUGCUGAUCAAAGUUCUGUUACGCCAUUCCAAUCAAUGCUAAAUGGCAUAUAACUCACAGGGCAUAACAUCACCAAGGAGGCUCCAAUUAAGAAAGCUCUUCUUAAUAUCAUGCAAGACAAGCUUUUGUAGGGGUUUGCUUUGCAGUAAGCAAAUAGCAAAAUGCUAGAUAAACCAAAAAUACCAUGGAUCCACGCGGACCUUAAUUCUAGUACUCUUUGGUGGUGGGACAGUCACAUAAGCCCCAAAAACUAAAGAUGGCUUGAAGAAAAUAUCAGAGGCCUCUGACUUGAUCAAUGUUCUUUCUAUAAAUUUCCUUAUCAAGCUAAGUUGCUGAUGUUCCCUCCCCCAGGGAGAAUAUGAUAUCUCACCAUCAUAUAGUUAAUUUUUUUAAACUUUGAUCGCGACUUUUUUAAUGACAAAGUCCUAUAUGAUGCAUUAUACUAUGUGAUGUAAUGCAUGUUAACCGAGAUUGGAACUUUAAGGCUGAUAAUCUUACAAACGAAGGGAGAGAAAGAAUCAAAUUUAUUUUGAGUUGGCUCUUAUACACAUUCCCAGAGAGAUCUGUGUGCCGUCUUAGCUAGGCACAUCAAUGAAAGAUGAGUAUUAGCCUUAUUAUGUCAUUUGUAUGUUUGAAAGAAGGUUAUCUCUUAACCUCAGGUCGUUCAAGAGUGAAGGCAAUAAUGAUUGUGGCUAGCUGUUUUUGUUCCCUGGUAGCUAUGACUUAUGAGUAUUAAUUUUAUAUAGGAAAGGAAACUUGGUGCAUGCGUAUACUUUUCUCUGGAUAUAUAUUCUGCUCAGAUUCUAGAGUGUGCUGCAGCUUUUAUAUUAUGUUUCCAAGUCCCAGUGUUGUUGUUUUGUUUGAUUUACGGAUCGUUUUCUUUUAAAGCAUUUUACAGUCAGUGAGUAUGAUCAUGUACCUGUAUUGAUGCAAGCAUGCAUUUGUAAUAUUUUAUUAUAUUAAUAUAUU